CCCUUAGACGUUCUGGGCCGCACGCGUGCUACACUGAGUGGAUCAGCGGGUCAGGUUGCGCGAAAGUGUUUCCUAAUCUUGAAAUCCGCUCGUGAUGGGGAUUGACGGUUGCAAUUUUCCGUCAUGAACGAGGAAUACCUUGUAAGCGCGGGUCAUCAUCCCGCGCUGAAUACGUCCCUGCCCUUUGUACACACCGCCCGUCGCUCCUACCGAUUGAGUGGUCCGGUGAGGCUUUGGGAUCUGAGCAAAAAGAGCGUUUCGCUCGUUUGGCUCGGAAAACUCAGUCGAACCUUAUCAUUUAGAGGAAGGAGAAGUCGUAACA
rnacentral:rRNA from 1 species